rnacentral:rRNA from 1 species
UACGAAGGGGGCUAGCGUUGUCCGGAUUUAUUGGGCGUAAAGAGCUCGUAGGUGGUUCGGUAAGUCGGAUGUGAAAUCUCCAGGCUCAACCUGGAGGGGUCAUUCGAUACUGCCGUGACUAGAGUUCGGUAGAGGAGUGUGGAAUUCCAGGUGUAGCGGUGAAAUGCGUAGAUAUCUGGAGGAACACCGGUGGCGAAGGCGGCAUCCUGGACCGACACUGACGCUGAGGAGCGAAAGCCAGGGGAGCAAACGGG